ACUCAAAUGAAUAGACGGGGACCCGCACAAGCGGUGGAGCAUGUGGAUUAAUUCGAUACUAACCGAAGAACCUUACCCAGGCUUGACAUCGAUGGAAAGGGCCCGAAAGGGCUCCCUCCCUCUCAAGGGGACCAGAAGACACUUGUUGCAUGGCUGUCGUCAGCUCGUGCCGUGAGGUGUACGGUUAAGUCCGCCAACGAGCGCAACCCUCGUCCCGUGUUACCAGCAUGAAAGAUGGGGACUCACGGGAGACCGCCGGUGUAAGCCGGAGGAAGGUGGGGAUGACGUCAAGUCAGCAUGGCAGUUACGCCUGGGGCUUCACACAUGCUACAAUGGGCGCAACAGAGGGCCGCGAUGCCGCGAGGCGGAGCCAAUCCCAAAAAUACGCCCCCAGUUCAGAUCGCAGUCUGCAACUCGACUGCGUGAAGGCGGAAUCGCUAGUAAACGCAGGUCAGCUAUACUGCGUUGAAUACGUUCCCGGGUCUUGUACACACCGCCCGU
rnacentral:rRNA from 1 species